AUUGAACGCUGGCGGAAUGCUUUACACAUGCAAGUCGAACGGCAGCACGGACUUCGGUCUGGUGGCGAGUGGCGAACGGGUGAGUAAUGUAUCGGAACGUGUCCAGUCGUGGGGGAUAACGUAGUGAAAAUUACGCUAAUACCGCAUACGAUCUAUGGAUGAAAGCGGGGGAUCGCAAGACCUCGCGCGAUUGGAGCGGCCGAUAUCAGAUUAGGUAGUUGGUGGGGUAAAGGCCCACCAAGCCAACGAUCUGUAGCUGGUCUGAGAGGACGACCAGCCACACUGGAACUGAGACACGGUCCAGACUCGUACGGGAGGCAGCAGUGGGGAAUUUUGGACAAUGGGCGAAAGCCUGAUCCAGCCAUUCCGCGUGCAGGAUGAAGGCCCUCGGGUUGUAAACUGCUUUUGUACAGAACGAAAAGGUUUCUACUAAUACUAGGAGCUCAUGACGGUACUGUAAGAAUAAGCACCGGCUAACUACGUGCCAGCCGCCGCAGUAA
rnacentral:rRNA from 1 species